CCUACGGGAGGCAGCAGUGGGGAAUUUUGCGCAAUGCUCGUAAGAGUGACGCAGCGACGCCGCGUGAAUGACGAAGGCCUUCGGGUCGUAAAGUUCUUUCGACAGGGAAGAAAAUGCCUAUAAGUAACUGUGUAUGUAUUGACGGUACCUGUAUAAGCAGCCCCGGCUAACUCCGUGCCAGCAGCCGCGGUAAUACGGAGGGGGGCGAGCGUUGUUAGGAGUGACGGGGCGUAAAGAGCAUGUAGGCGGUGUUGUAAGUCAUUAGUGAAAGACUAGAGCUCCACUUUAGUAAGGCUAGUGAUACUAUAAUACUAGAGUAUCAGAGAGGAUUGUAGAAUUCCGGGUGUAGCGGUGAAAUGCGUAGAUAUCAGGAGGAAUACCAGUAGCGAAGGCGGCAAGCUGGCUGGAAACUGACGCUGAGGUGCGAAAGCGUGGGUAGCAAACAGGAUUAGAUACCCUUGUAGUC
rnacentral:rRNA from 1 species